ACUUUCUGGUUGCAAAUGACAGAAAUCGUAACAAACCAAGAUAAAAGAAAAAGAAGGGUGAAGGAAGGGAAGAAGGAAGAAAUUGGCACCUGUAACAACAAAGUUCAGAGAUGGACUUCAGAAGCAAAAGUGGCAAUUUCUCUUUUAAAAAAAGACGGGAGGAGCCAGUGAGGGGACAGGGGACUUGGUGCAUUCAGAAGUCCUGUGAUGUUGCUGCCUCCUACCAUCCACCAUCAGGAAGAGGUUUGGAAGAUUUCACCUUUCAGGUUUCCACCAUAAUGAAGAGAAAAGUUUUGAGUACAAUGCAGCUGACAUUCUGGGUCAAAACAUAAUGAUUCUGCCACUACUGAGCUUUUUGAAAAGCAAGUCAUGGAACCUGUCUGAAAUUCUGGUCCUUCAUAUCGCC
rnacentral:lncRNA from 1 species